UCAACAUGCAAUGUUUGUAACAACAAAAAAAAAUAAAUAAAAUGUAUUAUCUCAAUUUUAAGUAAUAUUACACCAAAAUAUUAACAGCAGUUAGGACAAAAGGAUUGUGGGGGGCUUUUCAUUUAUAUUUUUAUUUAUAAGCCUUUCUGUAUUCCCUUUAACAGGCAGGUAUAACUUCUGCAAUAUGAAAAAAGUGCUAUUUUUAAAAAAACAACACUGAGAUGCCCUCUGUUACCCUCAUGAUAAGAGUCCAAAGUAUAUUAGAAGAUAUAUAAUACUUGUGACUUUUGCCCUUGCUUUUACCACAAGCCAGCUCUCUUACUACAUCCUCUACUGCAGUUGAAUAAGGCUGGAUAGAACAACUCUCAGUUCUCUAUAAACAGCAGAGCCCACUCUCCCCUCUAGGCAUUUGCUCCAGUUCACAUGUCCCUUCCUCACUUCUCAAAACUCCUUUACUGGAAAACCUCCCUCACCCUUCAUACACUGCUUGGUGGGUCAGGUGCCUCACGCAUACCUACGUCCCUUUAUUAAUCACAUAUUAUUUUCUGUUUUCUUGUCUUUCUCACUCACCAGGUUCUAAGCUCCUAUGAGAAACUACUUAAUGAGUGAACAGUUAUUGUUGUCAAAGAGAUAAUGAAAUAAAAGAAUGAAUGGAACCAGCCUCCAUGUAUCAGAUGCUGCCAUGGGCAUCUUAUUUAUUUUAUCUCAUUGAAUCUUAACCAAGAUGUUAUGAAGAAGAACCAUGAUGAGCUUCUAGAAAAUGUAUUAUUGAUGUGAUGUAAUAAGGUGAGCUUUCUUUUUUCUUUUCUCUUUUCAAAUAAUGACUUAUUUUAUAUUAACUGUGGUAUGACACAUUGCCGCUAAAGGUUGUUUUCAGCACAAGUGAAUUGUAUUUGAUUUCAUACCCUGCCUUUUCCAUCUAUUUCAAUAGCUCUCAUGUUUUGUCAAUGAGGUAUUAUUCAUGUCAUUAUUCGAUUUCUAGUUCAACAUGGAUUCAAUGGAUUCAAGAGAUUUUUCUUCCCUAAAUCAUACCCUCUGUUCCCUACAUUCAUUGAGUUUUCUUUGAUUUCUGAGUAGUUCUGGUCAGUUCAUGCUUACCUCCAUAUUUCAUUUAUUUCAUUUCCAUCUACAUAAAAAUAACACUCUUCAAUUGUGCUACAGUUGAGAAAAUAGAGGUUUCAAAAUAAUUAAAUAUUUUUAUUUUAAAAGGGCAGCCUCUUUAAUGUCUUGAAAAAUAUUAAAAUCCACAAUUCUGUUCUUUUAUUUUAUAUACAAAUCCUACAUGCAUUCAGAUUGUUAUUGGAGCACCAGGACAAACUCAAGAUCCAAUCGAUAAAGGGAGAAUGGUUAAUUAGGGCUUGAUAGAAAAUUUACAAAUUUAAAUUACAUAAAUAUUAAUGUUCUUCCCAUUUGAUUCUUCUCAUUACCAUUCAGUAAUGAUUUAUUUGUUUUCUACUUAGCAUUCAGUUAGCACACACAUAAAUACAAACUGAGCAAAUGUCCAUUUUCUUCCUUUGUACAACAGAAAGUCUCGUGUGCCAUGCACUGUGCUAGACACAGGCUCUAUUCUCUUGGAGUUUAUAGUAUAGAAGGAAGACAGAUGAAGUCACACUAGUAAUGUAUAAUUACAAAUCAAGACGUGUGCCCUAAAGAGAAGGAAUAUGGUUGGAGGAACUUCUUUGGAGUGGGUCAGUCAAGUGGCACACCUGCCAGACCUUUAAUCUACGGUCUCUGGCAAGUCUGUAGAAUUGUGCUUAUGUGACUGUGAUCAUAUUGAAACACUUCCCUUGCUAAACACUUGAGAUGAAAACUUGCUAGACCUCACCUGGCCUGAGUUCCAAAAUUCAGAUGGAAAAUCUUCUGCUUCUACUGUUAAUCUUGCAACACAUUAUAUUUUCAGGUUUAAAAUAAGAAGUUU